UACGUAGGGUGCAAGCGUUAAUCGGAAUUACUGGGCGUAAAGCGUGCGCAGGCGGUUUUGUAAGACAGAGGUGAAAUCCCCGGGCUCAACCUGGGAACUGCCUUUGCGACUGCAAGGCUUGAGUGCGGCAGAGGGGGAUGGAAUUCCGCGUGUAGCAGUGAAAUGCGUAGAUAUGCGGAGGAACACCGAUGGCGAAGGCAAUCCCCUGGGCCUGCACUGACGCUCAUGCACGAAAGCGUGGGGAGCAAACAGG
rnacentral:rRNA from 1 species